GACGGCCUUCGGGUUGUAAACCUCUUUCAGUAGGGAAGAAGCCUUUCGGGGUGACGGUACCUGCAGAAGAAGCGCCGGCUAACUACGUGCCAGCAGCCGCGGUAAUACGUAGGGCGCAAGCGUUAUCCGGAAUUAUUGGGCGUAAAGAGCUCGUAGGCGGUUUGUCGCGUCUGCCGUGAAAGUCCGGGGCUCAACUCCGGAUCUGCGGUGGGUACGGGCAGACUAGAGUGAUGUAGGGGAGACUGGAAUUCCUGGUGUAGCGGUGAAAUGCGCAGAUAUCAGGAGGAACACCGAUGGCGAAGGCAGGUCUCUGGGCAUUAACUGACGCUGAGGAGCGAAAGCAUGGGGAGCGAACAGGAUUAGAUACCCUGGUAGUCCAUGCCGUAAACGUUGGGCACUAGGUGUGGGGGACAUUCCACGUUUUCCGCGCCGUAGCUAACGCAUUAAGUGCCCCGCCUGGGGAGUACGGCCGCAAGGCUAAAACUC
rnacentral:rRNA from 1 species